rnacentral:rRNA from 1 species
UACGGAGGGGGCUAGCGUUGUUCGGAAUUACUGGGCGUAAAGGGCUCGUAGGCGGCCAACUAAGUCAUACGUGAAAUCCCUCAGCUUAACUGGGGAACUGCGUGUGAUACUGGAUGGCUUGGAUUUGGGAGAGGGAUGCUGAAUUCCAGGUGUAGCGGUGAAAUGCGUAGAUAUCUGGAGGAACACCGGUGGCGAAGGCGGCAUCCUGGACCAAUAUUGACGCUGAGGAGCGAAAGCCAGGGGAGCAAACGGG